rnacentral:rRNA from 1 species
UACAGAGGCCUCGAGCGUUAGGCGGAAUCACUGGGCUUAAAGCGUGUGUAGGCGGACUUCUAAGUACCUUGUGAAAUCCCACGGCUUACCCGUGGAACGGCUGGGUAUACUGGGAGUCUUGAGCCACCUAGGGGCGAGUGGAACAAAUGGUGGAGCGGUGAAAUGCGUAGAUAUCAAUUUGGAACGCCAAUGGUGAAAACAACUCGCUGGGGGUGUGCUGACGCCUGGAGAACGCGAAAGCGUGGGGAGCAAACAGG